CUCCAUUGGCUGGCUACCGUGAAACUUUGGUACGCACCCUUUUUUGAACAGUUACAUUGUGUUAAGGUCUGCAGAUGCUGGAUUUGGAGAUGGUCAUGUCGAUUUGACAAGAUGCUUGCGUUAGAGGCUUGCACAUACUAUUACAAAAAAAAAGAUGCUUGUGCAUACAUGAUCCAUAUUUGUUUUGCACCUCAAUACCAACCAC
rnacentral:lncRNA from 1 species